rnacentral:rRNA from 1 species
GUCGUCAGCUCGUGUCGUGAGAUGUUGGUUAAGUCCGCAACGAGCGCAACCCCUAUUGUUAGUUGCCAUCAUUCAGUUGGGCACUCUAGCGAGACUGCCGGUAAUAAACCGGAGGAAGGUGGGGAUGACGUCAAAUCAUCAUGCCCCUUAUGACCUGGGCUACACACGUGCUACAAUGGUUGGUACAACGAGUUGCGAGUCGGUGACGGCGAGCUAAUCUCUUAAAGCCAAUCUCAGUUCGGAUUGUAGGCUGCAACUCGCCUACAUGAAGUCGGAAUCGCUAGUAAUCGCGGAUCAGCACGCCGCGGUGAAUACGUUCCCGGGCCUU